rnacentral:rRNA from 1 species
UACAGAGGGUGCAAGCGUUAAUCGGAAUUACUGGGCGUAAAGCGUGCGUAGACGGUAGCGUAAGUCGGGUGUGAAAGCCCCGGGCUCAACCUGGGAAUUGCAUUCGAGACUGCUCUGCUAGGGUGCGGAAGAGGGAAGCGGAAUUUCCGGUGUAGCGGUGAAAUGCGUAGAUAUGUUAUAGAACACCGAUUGCGAAGGCAGCUAACUAAGCAUAUAUUGACGCUGAGGAACGAAAGCCAGGGGAGCGAACGGG